rnacentral:rRNA from 1 species
UCAAGCUACUAAGGGCAUACGGUGGAUGCCUAGGCGCCAAGAGCCGAAGAAGGACGCGGUAAGCUGCGAAAAGCCACGGGGAACUGCAAGCAAGUAUUGAUCCGUGGAUAUCCGAAUGGGGAAACCCGGCCAUCGUCAUGGAUGGUCACCCGCAAGGGAGGGAACCUGGGGAACUGAAACAUCUAAGUACCCGGAGGAAGAGAAAUCAAACGAGAUGCCCACAGUAGCGGCGAGCGAAGAGGGCAGAGCCCAAACCGAGAAGCUCCGGCUUUUCGGGGUUGAGGACCGGCAGAAUCGAAGUCAGGCCUAGUUGAAUUACCUGGAAAGGUAAGCGAGAGAGGGUAAAAGCCCCGUAGACGAAAGGCAGAGCAGAGAGGCCGAGAUCCAGAGUACCACGAAGCACGAGGAAUUUUGUGGGAAGCAGGGGGGACCACCCUCCAAGGCUAAAAACUACUUGGCGACCGAUAGCGCAUAGUACCGUGAGGGAAAGGUGAAAAAGACCCCGGGAGGGGAGUGAAAUAGUACCUGAAACCGUAUGUCUACAAGCAGUCGAAGCGAAAGCGACGGCGUGCCUAUUGAAGAAUGAACCAACGAGUUAUCUGCACUAGCGAGGUUAAGUGGAAGACACGGAGCCGCAGCGAAAGCGAGUCUUAAGAGGGCGCUAGUUAGUGUAGGUAGACCCGAAACCGCAGUGAUCUACCCAUGUCCAGGUUGAAGCGCAGGUAAAAUUGCGUGGAGGACCGAACCGGUGAGCGUUGAAAAGCUUUCGGAUGAGAUGUGGGUAGGGGUGAAAUUCCAAUCGAACGCGGAGAUAGCUGGUUCUCCCCGAAAUAGCUUUAGGGCUAGCCUGAGGUAGUAAGUAUAGGCGGUAGAGCACUGAUCGGGCUAGGGGCCGUAAAGGUUACCGAACCCUGUCAAACUCCGAAUGGAUAUACUGUAGAGCCUUGGAGUCAGACUACGAGUGAUAAGAUCCGUGGUCAAAAGGGAAACAGCCCAGACCACCAGCUAAGGUCCCCAAUGUCGUACUAAGUGGAAAAGGAUGUGGGGUUUCAUAAACAACCAGGAUGUUGGCUCAGAAGCAGCCACCAUUUAAAGAGUGCGUAAUAGCUCACUGGUCGAGAGACCCUGCGCCGAAGAUUCCCGGGGCUAAAGUACGAAACCGAAGCUGUGGCUGUAUACGUAAAGUAUACGGGGUAGGGGAGCGUUCCCAUAGGGUAGAAGUCGAACUGGAAGGUUCGGUGGACUUGUGGGAAGUGAGAAUGUUGGUAUGAGUAGCGAAAAGAAAGGUGAGAAUCCUUUCCACCGAAAGCAUAAGGAUUCCUGAGCAACGAUCGUCGCCUCAGGGUAAGUCGGGACCUAAUCCGAGGCAGAGAGCGUAGGAGAUGGACAACUGGUUGAUAUUCCAGUACCGGUAGUAAUUGUUUGAGCAAUGGAGUGACACAGAAGGGCAGGCAAGCAUGCGAAUGGAAGAGCAUGUGUAAGCGUGUAGGGUGGUGCAUAGGCAAAUCCGUGCACUGAAAGCCUGAGGCGUGAUGCGGAGUGAGCAGAGAUGCGAGCGAAGUUGUUGACCCCACACUGUCGAGAAAAGCUUCUAGUGAGAGAGCUACCGCCCGUACCGUAAACCGACACAGGUAUGCGGGGAGAGAAUCCUAAGGUGCGCGGGAGAACCCUCGUUAAGGAACUCGGCAAAAUGUACCCGUAACUUCGGGAUAAGGGUAGCCACUGUUGUGAAGUCCCAUGCGGAUGGAGCAUAGAGUGGUCGCAGAGAAGAGGCCCAAGCGACUGUUUACCAUAAACACAGGUGCCUGCUAAAGCGAAAGCUGACGUAUAGGUGCUGACACCUGCCCAGUGCCGGAAGGUUAAGGAAGGAUGUUCGGAGUAAUCCAAAGCAUUCGACUGAAGCCCCGGUGAACGGCGGCCGUAACUAUAACGGUCCUAAGGUAGCGAAAUUCCUUGUCGGGUAAGUUCCGACCCGCACGAAAGGUGUAACGAUUUGGGCACUGUCUCAACGAGGGACCCGGUGAAAUUGAAAUACCUGUGAAGAUGCAGGUUACCCGCGACUGGACAGAAAGACCCCAUGGAGCUUUACUGUAACCUGACAUUGGGUUUUGAUACAUUACGUACAGGAUAGGUGGGAGGCAUGGAAAGCUGGACGCUAGUCUGGCUGGAGCCGACGUUGGGAUACCACCCUUGAUGUAUUGAAAUUCUAACCGCGAGAGUAACGAAAUCCGGGACAGUGUCAGGCGGGCAGUUUGACUGGGGCGGUCGCCUC